AGCGAACGCUGGCGGCAGGCUUAACACAUGCAAGUCGAGCGGGCAUCUUCGGAUGUCAGCGGCAGACGGGUGAGUAACACGUGGGAACGUACCCUUCGGUUCGGAACAACUCUGGGAAACUGGAGCUAAUACCGGAUACGCCCUUAUGGGGAAAGGUUUACUGCCAAAGGAUCGGCCCGCGUCUGAUUCGCUAGUUGGUGGGGUAACGGCCUACCAAGGCGACGAUCAGUAGCUGGUCUGAGAGGAUGAUCAGCCACACUGGGACUGAGACACGGCCCAGACUCCUACGGGAGGCAGCAGUGGGGAAUAUUGGACAAUGGGCGCAAGCCUGAUCCAGCCAUGCCGCGUGAGUGAUGAAGGCCUUAGGGUUGUAAAGCUCUUUUGUCCGGGACGAUAAUGACGGUACCGGAAGAAUAAGCCCCGGCUAACUUCGUG
rnacentral:rRNA from 1 species